GAACAAGCCGGGCCGCCUGGUGACGUAGCGGAAGUAUGGUCCUCCUGCGCCCACCGGUCAGAUAGAGACCGCCCCGCCGGUCCGCCGAGGACGGGGCGGGGCGAGUGACGUGUUCCAAGUGCUGUGGCCCACUUCCCCGGGAAGCUGGACAGGAUGCGCAGCACUUGAUGACACCCUUUGAUUUGUGUCUGGAGAAACACGCCUUUCCAGAUGACAACUGACGUACUUUGCGGAAUAUCCUCACCUAGGGGUGGCACUGUACACCUGUUUUAAAAAAAAAAAGCCUUGACGUCCCUAAAUCCUAAAGGCUCUAUCCUCGCCAAGGGGAGAGCUCUGCAAGCUGCGAAGGUCCUGCAGCAAAGUGGAAGCAAGGAAGAAGACACUUAGCGUGAGUGGUGUAGCCAACAAAGGAGUUCUCAAACAGCCCCUAAGAAAAGGACAAAACCAGGCAUGGUGGGUCACACCUGCAAUCUCAGCAUUCGGGAGUCCGAGGCAGGAGGAUUGCUGUGAGUUCCAGACCAGCCUGGGCUACAUAGUCGCAGCCUGGCUGUUAGCCUUUCAGAGAAGGGAAAGGAAGCAGCCCACAUUCAGUAGUCGCUCUCCUAAAUUACCUGCAAUGGGUUACCGUAACUGAGCACCUGGAUACCAAACAUCAAGACUGCUUUACCCACUCAACCAAAGAAGGUAAGUGGUCAAAGAAGGUAAGUUUCUAUGCCUUGCAUGAUUCCUGAUCUCUAAAAUCCCAACAUUUCCUCCAAGCUGGGCAUUUGACUUUUACCCAGAUUUCUUUUGGUCAUACUUUUAAAAUUUUUAUUUUUAUCAGUACAUGUUUGCAGUACAUAGUGAUUACAUUCAUCAUGGGGAGUUGGUACAUGUACAUAACACAUCUUGAUUCUUUGUGUGUCCUCUUCCCUUCUCCCCGCUUAAGCUCUUGGUCUCCU